AAUGCACCCCUAUUCCUCCCCGGGGCCAUUCCCGCUCAACGAGUUUUAUGACCUAAAAAACCCCACAGGCUGGUCUGAAGAGGAAGACACUUAAAGAUGAAGUGCUUAAUUCAAGGUCACAGAAUGUCGGGGAUGGACCUCCAGAUUUCCUUACUGACCUGCAUUAUCUUGUGGAUACCUGAGUGAAUUCCACACCACCCAUUUUAUAGAUGAAGCCACUGAGACGUGGAGCAACUGACUGAGUAGUCACUGCCCCACCCCUGCCUGGAGCCUCACACAUGACUUCUCUUAGUGACCACAGGAAAACAAGCUCAGGGCUCCCACUGAUUGUACAUUAUGGUGAGACGUGGUCUUGUAACACAGUGGUUAAGAAUGUGACUUUGGAGCCAGCCUGCUAGGGGCUGAAUUCUGACUCAGCCAUUUAUUAACUGUGUGACCUUAGGGAGGAGGACCUGGUUGAUAGAAGAAUUUAUCUCAUAGUCUUAACAUCCACUGUAAUUCCGAACUUUGAGGACGAUAGAGAUCAGUGGGCUUUGACUGCCCAGCAUGCAGUCUCCAUUCUUAGGUCAUAGAAUUUUCCACACUCCUUGACGGAGGUUCUUAACCCUUAUCCAUCAGCAUUCUCAGACAGCACCUCCGGUUAGGGACAGUAUCUGACCGUCCGACAUCCCUGCAGCCCCCAUGCUGUCACACAGACUCAGCCUCAGGUAGAUGGUUUCCGUAGAUGGUGGCUUUCUU
rnacentral:antisense_RNA from 1 species